UACGUAGGGUGCGAGCGUUAAUCGGAAUUACUGGGCGUAAAGCGUGCGCAGGUGGUUUGUUAAGUCAGAUGUGAAAGCCCCGAGCUUAACUUGGGAACUGCGUUUGAGACUGGCAAGCUAGAGUCUGUCAGAGGGGGGUAGAAUUCCACGUGUAGCAGCGAAAUGCGUAGAGAUGUGGAGGAAUACCAAUGGCGAAGGCAGCCCCCUGGGAUAAGACUGACGCUCAUGCACGAAAGCGUGGGGAGCAAACAGGAUUAGAUACCCUGGUAGUCCACGCCCUAAACGAUGUCAACUGGUUGUUGGGCAACUUGAUUGUUCAGUAACGAAGCUAACGCGAGAAGUUGACCGCCUGGGGAGUACGGUCGCAAGAUUAAAACUCAAAGGAAUUGACGGGGACCCGCACAAGCGGUGGAUGAUGUGGAUUAAUUCGAUGCAACGCGAAAAACCUUACCUACCCUUGACAUGUACGGAAGUCUGCUGAGAGGUGGAUGUGCCUGAAAGGGAACCGUAACACAGGUGCUGCAUGGCUGUCGUCAGCUCGUGUCGUGAGAUGUUGGGUUAAGUCCCGCAACGAGCGCAACCCUUGCUAUUAAUUGCCAUCAUUAAGUUGGGCACUUUAAUAGGACUGCUGGUGAUAAACCGGAGGAAGGUGGGGAUGACGUCAAGUCCUCAUGGCCCUUAUGGGUAGGGCUUCACACGUCAUACAAUGGCCGGUACAGAGGGAUGCCAACCCGCGAGGGGGAGCCAAUCUCAGAAGGCCGGUCGUAGUCCGGAUUGUUCUCUGCAACUCGAGAGCAUGAAGUCGGAAUCGCUAGUAAUCGCGGAUCAGCAUGUCGCGGUGAAUACGUUCCCGGGUCU
rnacentral:rRNA from 1 species